AUUGAACGCUGGCGGCAGGCCUAACACAUGCAAGUCGAGCGGAGCGGCGGACGGGUGAUUAAUGCCUAGGAAUCUGCCUGUUAGUGGGGGAUAACGUCCGGAAACGGGCGCUAAUACCGCCUACUCUCAGAUGAGCCUAGGUCGGAUUAGCUAGUUGGUGGGGUAAAGGCCUAACAAGGCGACGAUCCGUAACUGGUCUGAGAGGAUGAUCAGUCACACUGGAACUGAGACACGGGCCAGACUCCGACGGGAGGCAGCAGUGGGGAAUAUUGGACAAUGGGCGAAAGCCUGAUCCAGCCAUGCCGCGUGUGUGAAGAAGGUCUUCGGAUUGUAAAGCACUUUAAGUUGGGAGGCGUUACCAACAGAAUAAGCACCGGCUAACUUCGUGCCAGCAGCCGCGGUAAUUC
rnacentral:rRNA from 1 species